rnacentral:rRNA from 1 species
GAUGAACGCUGACAGAAUGCUUAACACAUGCAAGUCUACUUGAUUCUACUUCGGUAGUUGAUGGUGGCGGACGGGUGAGUAACGCGUAAAGAAUCUGCCCUUUAGUUUGGGAUAACCUUUGGAAACGAAGGCUAAUACCGGAUAUUAUGGAGACGUCGCAUGACGACUCCAUGAAAGCUAUAUGCGCUAGAGGAGGACUUUGCGUCCCAUUAGUUAGUUGGUGAGGUAAUGGCUCACCAAGACCGCGAUGGGUAGCCGGCCUGAGAGGGUGAUCAGCCGCAAGGGAACUGAGACACGGUCCUUACUCCUACGGGAGGCAGCAGUGGGGAAUAUUGGACAAUGGGCCACAAGCCUGAUCCAGCAAUUCUGUGUGCGCGAUGAAGGUCUUCGGAUUGUAAAGUGCUUUCAGUAGGGAAGAAAAAAAUGACGGUACCUACAGAAGAAGCGACGGCUAAAUAUGUGCCAGCCGCCGCCGUAA